rnacentral:rRNA from 1 species
GGGGGGGGGGGGGGGGGGGCCGGACACGGGCGGGGCGGGGGGAGGAAGGGGGCUUGCUCCUGGAUUCAGCGGCGGGCGGGUGGGUAAUGCCUAGGAAUCUGCCGGGUAGUGGUGGAUCACGUCCGGACACGGGCGCUACUACCGCAUACGUCCUUGGGGGUAAAGUGGGUCAUCUUCGGACCUCCCACUAUCAGAUGAGCCUAGGUCGGAUUAGCUAGUUGGUGGGGUAAAGGCCUACCAAGGCGACGAUCCGUAACUGGUCUGAGAGGAUGAUCAGUCACACUGGAACUGAGACACGGUCCAGACUCCUACGGGAGGCAGCAGUGGGGAAUAUUGGACAAAGGGCGAAAGCCUGAUCCAGCCAUGCCGCGUGUGUGAAGAAGGUCUUCGGAUUGUAAAGCACUUUAAGUUGGGAGGAAGGGCAGUAAGUUAAUACCUUGCUGUUUUGACGUUACCAACAGAAUAAGCACCGGCUAACUUCGUG